GACACUUCCUCAGUAGGAUCAUGACGUGAUCGCUUUAGGUCAAACUUCUGCUUGCUGAAGACAUCAGGUCAAGAAGAAUGGAAGUUAAAGAGGCACUAACGUGAAUACUAAGUAUGGUAAAGAGGCUCCUAAAAAUAGGACCUACGAUAAAGUCACGAAACGAAUAGGCUAAAACGUCAAAAAUGGGCAAUUUCAACUUUCUGUGGAAGUCAGACUUUUCAUAGGAUAUAUUCAGACAGGCUGAAAUGAAUAUUAAUAAUCCACGAUCGUGCAAAUUUGCUGACUAACAGAGGAACAAGUGCGAGAGCACGCCGUGAGUAGCGCGUCCCAUCGUGUUAAGAUUACGCGUGUUUAACAGCAACAAAGCCACAAGUCCAACCAAGAGAAUAUAGAGCCAACUGCUCAAAACGCCUAAACGGGUCACACACUUUUCAGGUAUUUAGACGUGAGGCGUAAGUGUUAAUUGUUUACCCGCACGCAAAACAGAAACCCAAAAGCAAAACGUUGAAACUCCGCUAACGUUGGCCUAGUCACGUUGGUUUUUCUCCUGCGUGCUCGCGAGACAGUAGCGCUGGCUAGGCUAGCUGCUAGCAAACAUUAGCUCAACACCUCACGACCAAGAAACGGGCUUCAGUCGACGAUCGAUCCACAUUGCCCAGAACCAAAAACGCUUGACCCAACCAUGAACUGAGAGCUGCAGGAACAUCAGUGUCACGUUCUGCAGUGAAGCAAGUUUAAUCACCACGGACUGGGAAGGUGCCGACCAAGAAAGAACCACUGCUCCAAAAUCUUGCAGCUCGACUAAAAUCUGCAGACUGCUUCUGCAGGAUAGUUUUAUGGAAGAGGAGACAAAGACUGAGGUGUAUGUUUGUAGGAGUAAAGGCAAGGUUUGAAAGCUAAAUAAUACCUUACCAGCUGUCAAGCAUGGGAGUAGCAGUGUCAUACCACUGGCAGCGUCUGUUGAGCUGCCAGUGGUACUUGUGGAUUGCAGAAAGUGGGUAGAAUGAUAAAACCAGGGCACUAACUCCAAAUUCUUUAACUCAACCUCAACUUAAAGCUGGAUGGUUGCAAUUAGGAGACGGUUAGGUGUUCCAACUGAACCAUGAACAAACAUCAAAGCUGGUUUUUCAGUGGAUGAAAUAUUGAGUUUCUGGAAUGGCCCUGACCUCAACCCUGUAAAGAUGCUGUCUGUGCCAGGAAUCCACCCAGUAUAAAUAAACUCCACUAUUACUUAUGAUGAUAAGAAAGUCAAAUAUUCAACCAGAAUUAUGCCAGAAGCUUCAUGAUGACAACAAAAAAGUAUGGUGUCCAGAAAAUGCAUUAAACCAAAUAUCAGUGAA